rnacentral:rRNA from 1 species
GUCUUUUUGUUAGUUAUAAAAAGUCUGGCCUGCUCACUGAAAUAUUUAAAGAGCUGCGGUAUAUUGACCGUACAAAGGUAGCAUAGUAAUUAGUUUUUUAAUUGAAAACUUGUAUGAAUGGUUAGACAAAACAAAAACUGUCUCUGUUGUUAAAAUGAAUUUAACUUUUAAGUGAAAAGGCUUAAAUAAUGCAAGAAGACGAUAAGACCCUAUAAGCUUUAUGUUUUUACUAUAUCAUUUUAAAAGUUAAAUUAAAUAAAAAAUGUAGUUGAAUAUUUGGCUGGGGCGGCAUGUUUAAAAAUUUAGUUAACUUUUCUUAUAAAAACAUUUAUUAAUGAAAUUAACAGAUCCUUUUUAAAGAUCAAAAGAUAAGUUACUUUAGGGAUAACAGCGUUAUUUUUUUUGAGAGUUCUUAUCGAAAAAAAAGA